rnacentral:rRNA from 1 species
GAUGAACGCUGGCGGCGUGCCUAAUACAUGCCAGUCGAGCGAACGGACGAGAAGCUUGCUUCUCUGAUGUUAGCGGCGGACGGGUGAGUAACACGUGGAUAACCUACCUAUAAGACUGAGAUAACUUCGGGAAACCGGAGCUAAUACCGGAUAAUAUUUUGAACCGCAUGGUUCAAAAGUGAAAGACGGUCUUGCUGUCACUUAUAGAUGGAUCCGCGCUGCAUUAGCUAGUUGGUAAGGUAACGGCUUACCAAGGCAACGAUGCAUAGCCGACCUGAGAGGGUGAUCGGCCACACUGGAACUGAGACACGGUCCAGACUCCUACGGGAGGCAGCAGUAGGGAAUCUUCCGCAAUGGGCGAAAGCCUGACGGAGCAACGCCGCGUGAGUGAUGAAGGUCUUCGGAUCGUAAAACUCUGUUAUUAGGGAAGAACAUAUGUGUAAGUAACUGUGCACAUCUUGACGGUACCUAAUCAGAAAGCCACGGCUAACUACGU